rnacentral:rRNA from 1 species
CUGGUUGAUCCUGCCAGUUUUAUAUGCUCGUCUAAAAGUUUAAGCCAUGCAUGUGUAAGUAUAAGCUUUUAUACAGUGAAACUGCAUAUGGCUCAUUAAACCAGUUAUUGUUUUCACGAUAGUACCUUUCCUACUUGGAUAACCGUCGGAAACGAGGGCUAAUACAUGCACCAACGCUUGACUAGGGAUUUUUCUCUGGAAGGGCUGCAUUUGUUAGACAAAAAACCAACGCAGGGUUUCGGCUCUGGACUCACUUGGUGAAUCAUAACAACUUAGCGAAUCGCAUGACCUUGUGUCGGCGAUGAUUCGUCCAAAUUUCUGCCCUAUCAACUUUCGUUGGUAAGAUAGAGGCUUACCAAGGUUUUUACGGGUACAGGGGAUUAGGGUUCGAUGCUGGAGAGGGGGCCCGAGAAAUGGCCACAUUCCUACGGGAAGCAGCAGGCGCGCAAAUUGCCCAAUCAGAAAUACUGGAGGCAGUGACAAUAAAUAACAAUACAAUGUCCUCUAAUGGUCUUGUAAUUGGAAUGAGUACGAUGUAAACACACUAACGAUAAACAAUUGGAGGGCAAGUCUGGUGCCAGCAGCCGCGGUAAUUCCAGCUCCAAAAGUGUAUAAAAACGCUGUUGUGGUUAAAACGCUCGUAGUUGGAUAUCAGGAUGGGGAGGAUUGUGUCCGCCAUGAUGGUGUGUACUGGUCCACCUAUCCUUUAUUUUUCCUUUUACAGGUUAUUCGCCUCUCACCUUUAAUUGGGUGGAGGUUAGUCUGGGUAGCAUUUUUUCUCUUGUUUUUCAAGGGGUUAAAAGUGUUUUAUUCUGGGCUGCACUUAUGUCGGUUUUAUAGGGCUGGAAAUUAGGAAGGCACCUUUUGGUUUCUUUUUAAUUUUUUGGCUCUCGGCAUUAAGCUGGAAUUCCUGUUCUUUCACUUUGAGAAAAUAAGCGUGUUCAAAGCAGGCAAGUUUGAUUGCCAUGAAUUCUCGAGCAUGGGAUGAUGAAAGAGGUCUACAGUCCUAUUUUGUUGGUUUCUAGGAUUAUAGAAAUGAUUAAUAGGAACGGUUCGGGGGCAUUCGUAUUACAAAGUUAGAGGUGAAAUUCUUGGAUCUUUGUAAGACGAACAUGGGCGAAAGCAUCUGUCAAGGACGCUUCCAUUAAUCAAGAACGAAAGUUAAGGGAUCGAAGACGAUCAGAUACCGUCGUAGUCUUAACUGUAAACUAUGCCGAUCAGGGAUUGAAGGACGUUGAAUGCAGGACUCCUCCAGCACCUUGUGAGAAAUCAUAAAUUUUUAGGCUCCAGGGGGAGUAUGGUCGCAAGACUGAAACUUAAGGAAUUGACGGAAGGGCACCACCAGGAGUGGAGCUUGCGGCUUAAUUUGACUCAACACGAGGAAACUUACCAGGUCCGGACAAAGGAAGGAUUGACAGAUUGAAGUUCUUUCUUGAUUCUUUGGGUGGUGGUGCAUGGCCGUUUUUAGUUGGUGGAUUGAUUUGUCUGGUUAAUUCCGAUAACGAACGAGACCUCAGCUGCUAAAUAGUUAUGCGAAUUCUUCUAACAAAAGGUGGAGCGCGCAGCAGACCCUGAGUGCGCAAGUACUUCAGACUGUUGUGGAUUUUAUACAGUGAAGCCUGGUUGGAUUCGUAGACAACUGCUUAUCGGGACUAUCGGCAUCUAGUCGAUGGAGGAUUGAGGCAAAAACAGGUCUGUGAUGCCCUUUAGAUGUCCUGGGCUGCACGCGUGUUACACUGAACAGGUCAACGAGUUUUACAAUUCCUUGGCAGAAAUGUCUGGGUAAUCUUUUAAAACCUGUUCGUGCUGGGGAUCGAAGAUUGCAAUUAUUCUUCGUCAACGAGGAAUUCCUAGUAAGCGCGUUUCAUCAAAUCGCGCUGGAUAAGUCACUGCUCUUUGUACACACCGCCCGUCGCUUCCUCCGAUUUGUCAGUUCCGGUGAAGUAUUCGGAUUGUGGCCUGUUUACUUGUCGGCUUUCGAGUUGAUAAGGUGGGCUGUAAGAUGUCUCCUAAACCUUAACUGAUAGAGGAAGAAGAAGUCGUAACAAGGUUUCCGUAGGUGAACCUGCAGAAGGAUCA